CAGGCUUCUGAUUUUCCCCGGUGGGUUGUGGUUGAUAUAAGUGAAGGUGACUGGCUUCAGUUGUAGUGAUUUUGCUGGCAAGUAAAAGCAAAUCAGUUCUUAGAUUGACAAAGAACUUGGAUUAGAUGAUGUUUUGCUGGUAUGGCAAGGAAGAGAAUGGGCUCUACUUCAGAUGCAAAUGAGGUGUUGUUAUUGAACUUUUGCUACUCCUGCAGAGUAGGAAUUUACUUCUUCCGGCAAUUAGGCACAUAGUACUGAAGAGUUAUUUUAGUUCAGAUCUAUCGUUCUCAAUAGACAUCAAUGAGGAGCAGUACAGCAUCUGCAGUUCGUCAGAUGUUCAGCGUCAAAUGUACCAAAAGAUUAUGUUCAUCUACUGGUGAGUGGAGAUAUCAAGUGUAAGCUAGGCAUGCAUCGGUACUUUGUAUCCUGUAGAAGGAACUGGUUGAUUGUGUUCCAUUCCUUAAGUUUGGCCCACAUUCACAGCUUCAGGGGUUAUCCAUAUGGUUUUCCACCUCCCAACAAAUAUACCAUCAGAUGCACUGCAGUUUGGAGAGUCAUGUGCCAGCAGAGAUCAGGACAGUUAAUUAACCAGAAGAGAUUGUAUUAAUGGUGUGUAUAUGAUUUUCAGUGCUGCUCCUAUGCUUUAGAGCUAAAUUACUUGCAAUAAAAAAUUCAAGUGUAUACUUUGGUAUGCAAUCUGGCAUUUGACUGCUUUAACAUGUUAAAAUCUUAAGCAGCAACAGUUGCUCUCUUGAUUUGGUUGCUAUGCAUUGGCCGGGCACCAAAUAUGCUCUUGGAGUUCCAGCGCAUCAUUCCUGCUAGGGGCACCCAAAGUGAUAUUGUGCCUGUAGCUCAGAAGGUUCAGCAAACCUAAAAACGUUAGUAUCCGACCUUCAUAACUCAAGGAAAACAGAUAAAGUCUAGGGAGAAUGAGAAAGCAGAUAAAGGCCACAUGAUUCUGUCUGACUUUGUUUACACUGUAUCACAAUGUUUAUUAAACCAAAUUUGUGGUCAGCGGCAAUAAGCCACUGGCAUUA